AUACGUAGGUGGCAAGCGUUAUCCGGAUUUAUUGGGCGUAAAGCGAGCGCAGGCGGUUUUUUAAGUUCUGAUGUGAAAGCCCUCGGCUUAACCGAGGAAGCGCAUCGGAAACUGGGAAACUUGAGUGCAGAAGAGGACAGUGGAACUCCAUGUGUAGCGGUGGAAUGCGUAGAUAUAUGGAAGAACACCAGUGGCGAAGGCGGCUGUCUAGUCUGUAACUGACGCUGAGGCUCGAAAGCAUGGGUAGC
rnacentral:rRNA from 1 species